AUACGGAGGGCGCGAGCGUUGUUCGGAAUCACUGGGCGUAAAGCGGGUGUAGGCGGCCUGUCAAGUCAGAUGUGAAAGCCCACGGCUCAACCGUGGAAGUGCAUCUGAAACUGGCAGGCUUGAGUACCGGAGAGGGAAGUGGAAUUCCUGGUGUAGGGGUGAAAUCCGUAGAUAUCAGGAGGAACACCGGUGGCGAAGGCGACUUCCUGAACGGAUACUGACGCUGAGACCCGAAAGCGUGGGGAGCAAACAGGAUUAGAAACCCUAGUAGUCC
rnacentral:rRNA from 1 species